AUGAACGCUGGCGGCGUGCCUAAUACAUGCAAGUCGAGCGAACAGAUGAGGAGCUUGCUCCUCUGACGUUAGCGGCGGACGGGUGAGUAACACGCGGAUAACCUACCUAUAAGACUGGGAUAACUUCGGGAAACCGGAGCUAAUACCGGAUAAUAUAUUGAACCGCAUGGUUCAAUAGUGAAAGGCGGUUUUGCUGUCACUUAUAGAUGGAUCCGCGCCGCAUUAGCUAGUUGGUAAGGUAACGGCUUACCAAGGCAACGAUGCGUAGCCGACCUGAGAGGGUGAUCGGCCACACUGGAACUGAGACACGGUCCAGACUCCUACGGGAGGCAGCAGUAGGGAAUCUUCCGCAAUGGGCGAAAGCCUGACGGAGCAACGCCGCGUGAGUGAUGAAGGUCUUCGGAUCGUAAAACUCUGUUAUUAGGGAAGAACAAAUGUGUAAGUAACUAUGCACGUCUUGACGGUACCUAAUCAGAAAGCCACGGCUAACUACGUG
rnacentral:rRNA from 1 species